CUCUCCUGCUGGUUGAGAACGCUUGCUAUCUCUGCGCUUCCUGUUGGCUGUUGUGAACAUCCUUUUUUCUUGUGGAUUUUGACAAUCCUUUGAAGUCAUGAAUAUACAAGAGCAUGAAUAAGAGAAGAAAAGAUGGAAGAUAAAAAGCAGAAGGAUGCAGAGCAUAUCAAUAGCUGGGACCUGAAUUAGCACCAUAUGGAGCAGAGUUCUCUUCCAGCUAACCAAGGGCACUUCAUCACCAAAGCAACAAGAUGUGGAGCAUGAGCAGUUCAACCUUUGAAGAUAACUCAGACUAAUUUGGCCAGCCUCUCCGUCUGAGGGUCUGAGAUCAUAAGAAGGUUUGGGAAAAGAGAAAGUUGUCAUUAAAUUGACAUCAAACAACCAGAAGACAACUUGGGAAAAAGCAGGAAUUUAUGUCCUUCAGCUUUUGCUAAGAUAUUCAUGCCAUGAUAUUUGGCCUAUAUUCCCUUCCAAUUGAGGACCUCUUCUCAUGGAGAAAAAAGUUAAGAACAAGAGAAGAAAACUGCCUUGCUCAAGUACACAUAGGAUAAAACUAAGUGACUGAGCUGGAAUACCAACAGCAGCCUAAUAACUUUAAUUCAGUGAUUUUUCCACCAAAGACUCAACAGCAACUGAUAAGAAUUUGAAAUACCAGAGUAGCUUAACAAAGACUCUGAGAAGUCCUGCAAUAAGGAAGUAUCAUUAACUUUGUUGAACAUUUUUUACCAUUGACUCCAUGAUAUAGUUUGAAUAUUUGUCCCCACUCAAAUCCCAUGUUGAAUUGUAAUCCCCCAUUUUGGGAGUGGGGCCUGGUGGGAGGUGUUUGGGUCAUGGGGGCAGACACCUCAUGGCUUGGCACUGUACUUGCAACAGUGAGUGAGUUCUCAUGAGAUCUGGUUAACUGUUUGGCACCUCCUCCCUCCUCACUCCUACAAGAGAUGUGAAGGAGUGCCAUGUGAUGUGCAAGCUCCUACUUCGCCUUCUACCAUGAGUAAAAGCUCCCCGAGGCCUCCACAGAAAAUGAGCAGAUGCCCUUGUUAUGCUAGUACAGCCCACAGAACUGUGAGCCAAUUAAACUUCUCUUCUUUUUAAAUUACCCGGUCUCUGCUGUUUCCCUAUAAUAAUGCAAGAAUGGCCUAAUACACUCCCUUAUCUGCAUACCGUGUAUCUCCAUUUUAUAGAAGGAUGCUUUGUGACGUAUGCUAUAAGAAAUACUGCUCUAAAGAGUUUUUGUAGAUGAGAUGGCUAAAGUAUCACAGAAAUGGUAUUGUGAACAACCAUUCUGAAAUGGAUGGGCCUUGGAAAUAAUGAUCUAAAAAUUCAGAAACUAAAAUAUUUGUCCCAUGAAAUACUCUCUAAAUGAGUUCCAUGUCCAUGUAAAUUUAGGCAACAUUGCACAUUAUAUCCAUUUUCUUAGAGAGUAAACAUGCUGGAAAAAAAAACAGCGUUACUUUAUCUAAUUAAAUUUUAGAAGGUUUAUUUGAAUAUCAAAAUUCAUUUCCCCCCAGGAGUAAUGAUAAAUACUAGGGGAGCUAGUGUGAAAAGUGCUUUGGAAAAAUAUGAUGUGGUAGCAAGAAGAGAUUUAAGAUUCCAACCAAUUCAGAUUUAAUUUUUGGCUCUGCUACUUGCCAGAUGAGAUUUAUUUAUGUGGGAGUUUCUGAAGAUUCCCAUGGUAAAUAGUAUUCCUCUUCCCUGCUUAGGUUUUGAAGAAGUUGAAUAAAUAAUUAAAUGUAAAUGUUGAUAGCAUAAGAUGACCUUUAUCGCUAACAGAGGUCAGGUUUUAGGACAUAGCUAAAAGUCUGCUAAUGCUGGUGGACUUGCUCACACAGAAAGAACAC
rnacentral:lncRNA from 1 species